AGAGUUUGAUCCUGGCUCAGAUUGAACGCUGGCGGAAUGCUUUACACAUGCAAGUCGAACGAUGAACCUUAGCUUGCUAAGGGGAUUAGUGGCGAACGGGUGAGUAAUAUAUCGGAACGUGCCUUGUAAUGGGGGAUAACUAGUCGAAAGAUUAGCUAAUACCGCAUACGCCCUGAGGGGGAAAGUAGGGGAUCUUCGGACCUUACGUUAUAAGAGCGGCCGAUAUCUGAUUAGCUAGUUGGUGGGGUAAUGGCCUACCAAGGCAUCGAUCAGUAGCUGGUCUGAGAGGACGACCAGCCACACUGGAACUGAGACACGGUCCAGACUCCUACGGGAGGCAGCAGUGGGGAAUUUUGGACAAUGGGCGCAAGCCUGAUCCAGCCAUUCCGCGUGAGUGAAGAAGGCCUUCGGGUUGUAAAGCUCUUUCGCAAGGGAAGAAAACUUACAUUCUAAUAAAGUGUGAGGCUGACGGUACCUUGAUAAGAAGCACCGGCUAACUACGUGCCAGCAGCCGCGGUAAUACGUAGGGUGCGAGCGUUAAUCGGAAUUACUGGGCGUAGAGCGUGCGCAGGCGGUUUGGCAAGUCAGAUGUGAAAUCCCCGAGCUCAACUUGGGAACUGCGUUUGAAACUGCCAGACUAGAAUAUGUCAGAGGGGGGUAGAAUUCCACGUGUAGCAGUGAAAUGCGUAGAGAUGUGGAGGAAUACCAAUGGCGAAGGCAGCCCCCUGGGAUAAUAUUGACGCUCAUGCACGAAAGCGUGGGGAGCAAACAGGAUUAGAUACCCUGGUAGUCCACGCCCU
rnacentral:rRNA from 1 species